rnacentral:rRNA from 1 species
UGAAGCGGCAAGAGCUCAAAUUUGAAAGCUGGCUCCUUCGGGGUCCGCAUUGUAAUUUGCAGAGGAUGCUUCGGGAGCGGUCCCCAUCUAAGUGCCCUGGAACGGGACGUCAUAGAGGGUGAGAAUCCCGUAUGGGAUGGGGUGUCCGCGCCCGUGUGAAGCUCCUUCGACGAGUCGAGUUGUUUGGGAAUGCAGCUCUAAAUGGGUGGUAAAUUUCAUCUAAAGCUAAAUAUUGGCCGGAGACCGAUAGCGCACAAGUAGAGUGAUCGAAAGAUGAAAAGCACUUUGAAAAGAGAGUUAAAAAGCACGUGAAAUUGUUGAAAGGGAAGCGCUUGCGACCAGACUCGCUCGCGGGGUUCAGCCGGCAUUCGUGCCGGUGUACUUCCCCGCGGGCGGGCCAGCGUCGGUUUGGGCGGUCGGUCAAAGGCUCUCGGAAGGUAACGCCCCCUCGGGGGCGUCUUAUAGCCGAGGGUGCAAUGCGACCUGCCUGGACCGAGGAACGCGC